UCUUAUAUUUUUGUGACCAAGCGAUUAAUUACUCAGUAAGUGAUGAAAAUAGGUCCAGCUUGUUGUUGCCAUCACUAUGAAUAUGAAAAAUUUGUUAAAUGACUAAAUUCCUCAUUAUAAUUGAAAUUUAUGAUUUCCCAAUAUGUGACCAAGUGAACCACAGAAGGAUGCAAGCUUGUUCUGUUUGUCAUUGCCAUGAUUGUAAACUCGAACAGUUUGUUGAGUUGUUUGUGCAUGUUCAGAUGAGUUCUCAAAUAAUUUAGGACUGAGGUUUAAAAUAUACCGUCUUAAUACUUGCAACAUAAAUAAAAUUUAACUUUGUAUUACAUCUACAUUUAAGGCGUAAAGAUGUUUUUUCUUUGUUAUCGUAGUCAGUAGUUAUCAAGUAAUGGACCACUCUCAAAUAAUCACGAAUAUUGGUUGACUUUUGGUUAGGUUUCUUUGGGAGGCCCUUCUCCUUUGAACUUGCAAGGAGCAGUCAAGCGUCUCACUGUGAUAAACCUACGAAGUAUUCUUUCUCUCAUUUUCUUGUUUAGAAAAGUUAUCAACUAAGUGGUCGAACUCUUCGUAAACUACCAUUCCUUGCACAUGCGCUGUAUUCGAAAGCGCAAACGAUAACCUUAGAAGAGUUUUUGAAUAAUCUUUCAAUGGUUGUCGACAAGCAGUUCAAA